AACAAUUUUGUAGAAUAAAAAGAAAAUUUGUGUUAAAACAAAAAACAAAAAAAGAAACAAAAACUAAAUGAUUAACACAUAAAUGAGCAACUUACAAAUACAUACCUACUGAAAUAUAAGUAAAUGUUUAUAUGUACACUAACACAACGAAAAAUUGGCAUAAACAAAACGUUCUACGUGAAAUCGUAAUUAAAUUUUUGCGGUUAAUUUGAAGAUUUAUUUAAAAGGAAACAUCGCGUAAUUAAGAACAUUCAGUUGUGAACGAGCUGGCGCGCAGUCAAGUGUAUUGAAGAAAUAGGAUAUUUGGCAUAUUUUUUUGGAAGAUUGUGAACUCAAGAAAACUGUUAUUUUAAAUAAAUUCACCCUGCAAAUAAAAGUGAAUCGAUCAGACCGCGAGCAACAGCGAUCAGUAGUGUCAAGUGCAUUUAUUUUGGUGCAAUAAACUGCUGCACAACAACACACAUCUACUUUUAGUGCGAAUAAGCUGUAACUUUUAUUUCGAAAUUUUGUUUUGACACAAAACCCUCGUAGCAACAAAAGAAAGUAGCAUGUCCUGCAAAGUGUUUUCAUAUCUGCUGAGUGUUCUACUGAUCGCACAGAUACCCAUAAAUGGCAUCAGUGCCGGUACGGAUGACAACGAAAUCUACAAUUUGCCUGAAUACUAUUUGCUGCAAGGCGUCAAAGUCUAUCCAGGGGACCGUGAGUGCGCCAUGGUUGGUGGCUUAUGUGUGCACACCAGCGACUGUUUGGAACCGACUACGAAUCGCGGACUUUGCCCAUCGCACACACAUCGUGGCGUGGAGUGUUGCUACGAAUUGCCACUGAGGCCCGCACCGUGUGAAGAGCAUUUGGGCGCCUGCAUGGAUAGAUGUAAUGAGAACCUACAACGACCGGGCAUCGAUUGUCCAGGCGGACAGGUUUGCUGUGUCUUAGUCUAAGCCUCUACAAAGAGUUGACGCUUCUUCUUUCGGACGUGUGCACAUACAUAUUAAUAAUAUUGAUAUAAUUAUUAAAAGAGAGAUAUAACUUAGAUAUGUAUAUACAAGCAAUACAUAUGUAUGUAUGUAUAUGUAUGACUAAAACAUGUUUAACUAAAAUAAUUUAAGCUUUAAAAAUCGCUUGAUUAAAAAAUAGGCGAGUGCAUCAUAUGCAAACUCAUUUAAUCUUAGUUUCGCUUUGUGUAAUUUUAGGUUUACACUUAGGUUUUAAAUGCUAAUCUAUGUAUUGCUUAUGUAUUGUAUAACCUCAUCGUUUAUGUUGGUAUGUAAUAUGUGUGAAUUACAGUUAACUUUGACAGCAGCUAAACCAAGAAAAAACUGUGUAAAAUGUCUGUAAAUAAAUCUGAUUUAUUUAAAUAUAAAAAUAAAAGUAUUCGCGGUCUUAUA
rnacentral:misc_RNA from 1 species